AUGCCUAUUUCCAUAUUAUUGUUUACACCUAAAAGGUUGUUUAAAAGGUCCAGGGAACUGGAACAACUGUCGAGCACAAUAACUUGUUUGAAUCUUUUUCAUAGAACACAUCCUCUCAUAGGUUCAAUACCAGGGUCACUCCUUGGGAAAAAGACCAGAGACUUUCUACAAUCCAAAACAGUCAUAACGGGCCAUCACGGACCAAGUAAAAAACCUACUGAAUUAAGCAUCCACACCUCCAGACAUUUUGUUCGCAUGCAAGAAGUCUCCCAGGAACACAUUCUAUUCCUAGCAGUCGUAUAA
rnacentral:rRNA from 1 species